rnacentral:rRNA from 1 species
GACAGAGGAUGCAAGCGUUAUCCGGAAUGAUUGGGCGUAAAGCGUCUGUAGGUGGCUUUUUAAGUCUGCCGUCAAAUCCCAGGGCUUAACCCUGGACAGGCGGUGGAAACUACCAAGCUGGAGUACGGUAGGGGCAGAGGGAAUUUCCGGUGGAGCGGUGAAAUGCGUAGAGAUCGGAAAGAACACCAACGGCGAAAGCAGCUUGCUAGUACGCGCCUGACACUCAAUAACGAAAGCGUGGGUAGCGAAUGGG